GUGGGCAAGAGGGAGGCUGAUGAAGAAGCAGAGAAGACCUGAUUCAUCAAGUAUCAAUUAAUUCUGGUGAUUCUUACCUGGUUGGCCAUGCAUGCACAACACAAGACACUUCAAUCUGACACUCUUUUAAUGUUUGACGUCAGGCAAAAUGUCUUCAGCCACCGUAGGACGGAGAGCCGCUGGUUGACAUCGGACUGCAGUGUCUAAUGGACAAGACACUACCAUGGUACACAUGAGUACAUGGAGGAGCUGUGGGACCUGGCAUAAUGGUGAUACGUCAACAGUUUCAGUGUAAACAAAGUAGAUGGUGAUACUUGACCAUUCUCCCAUCUACUGUACAUUGACAUGGAGACGGUCAGCAGCUUCAAGUUCCUGGGAACCCUGAUAUCCUUUUCUGCCCUCAGUUACUUCACUCAAAGUCCCUCUUGUGCUUUUCCACUACCCUUAAACUUGCUGCACCACGACCUAUGUACCAACUACAGUGUCGUUUAUUGCCAUUGCACC